rnacentral:rRNA from 1 species
GACGAACGCUGGCGGCGUGCCUAAUACAUGCAAGUCGAACGCUGAAGGAGGAGCUUGCUUCUCUGGAUGAGUUGCGAACGGGUGAGUAACGCGUAGGUAACCUGCCUGGUAGUGGGGGAUAACUAUUGGAAACGAUAGCUAAUACCGCAUAAUAGCAGUUGUUGCAUGAUAACUGUUUGAAAGGUGCAAUUGCACCGCUACCAGAUGGACCUGCGUUGGAUUAGCUAGUUGGUGGGGUAACGGCUCACCAAGGCGACGAUACAGAGCCGACCGGAGAGGGGGGGCGGCCGCACUGGGAGUGAGACACGGCCCAGACUCACACGGGAGGCAGCAAGAGGGAAUCGUCGGCAAGGGGCGGAAGUCUGACCGAGAAACGCCGCGGGAGGGAAGAAGGUUUUCGGGUCGGAAAGCUCUGUUGUAAGAGAAGAACGAGUGUGAGAGUGGAAAGUUCACACUGUGACGGUAUCUUACCAGAAAGGGACGGCUAACUACGUG